rnacentral:rRNA from 1 species
UACGGAGGGUGCGAGCGUUGUCCGGAAUCACUGGGCGUAAAGGGCGCGUAGGCGGCAUGCCAAGCGUGUGGUGAAAGCCCGGGGCUCAACCCCGGGUCGGCCGUGCGGACUGGCGUGCUCGAGCACUGUAGGGGCGGGUGGAAUUCCCGGUGUAGCGGUGGAAUGCGUAGAGAUCCGGAAGAACACCGGUGGCGAAGGCGGCCCGCUGGGCCUGCACUGACGCUCAUGCACGAAAGCGUGGGGAGCAAACAGG